rnacentral:rRNA from 1 species
ACGCUGGCGCGUGCUUACACAUGCAAGUCGAACGGUGAAGCAGAGCUUGCUCUGUGGAUCAGUGGCGAACGGGUGAGUAACACGUGAGCAAUCUGCCCCUGACUCUGGGAUAAGCGCUGGAAACGGCGUCUAAUACCGGAUACGAGCUGCGAUCGCAUGGUCAGUAGCUGGAAAGAACUUCGGUCAGGGAUGAGCUCGCGGCCUAUCAGCUUGUUGGUGAGGUAAUGUUUCACCAAGGCGUCGACGGGUAGCCGGCCUGAGAGGGUGACCGGCCUCACUGGGACUGAGACACGGCCCAGACUCCUACGGGAGGCAGCAGUGGGGAAUAUUGCACAAUGGGCGAAAGCCUGAUGCAGCAACGCCGCGUGAGGGAUGACGGCCUUCGGGUUGUAAACCUCUUUUAGCAGGGAAGAAGCGAAAGUGACGGUACCUGCAGAAAAAGCGCCGGCUAACUACGUGCCAACAG